GAUGAACGCUAGCUACAGGCUUAACACAUGCAAGUCGAGCGAGCGGCGCACGGGUGUGUAAUAUGUAUCCAACCUGCAUUUUACUGGGGGACAGCCUUUAGAAAGAACGAUUAAUACCUGAUGUAAAGGAUGGGGAUGCGUUCCAUUAGGUUGUUGGUGAGGUAACGGCCCACCAAGCCUUCGAUGGCGAGGGGUGCUGAGAGGAAGGUCCCCCACGUUGGAGCUGAGGCACGGUCCAAACUCGUACGCGAGGCAGCAGUGAGGAAUAGUAGGCAAUGUGCGUUAGCCUGAACCAGCCAAGUAGCGUGAAGGAUGAAGGCUUAUGGGUCGUAAACUUCUUGUAUAUAAGAAUAGUUAUUAGAUGAAUAAGGAUCGGCUAACUCCGUGCCAGCAGCCGCGGUAAUAC
rnacentral:rRNA from 1 species